GGGCGACAGAAGGAACCCAAAAGCGAUUUGUUAAGAAAGAUGUUACGAAGAUUUGUGAAGUUCCUAGUAUUGUUGAUGCAGAACUCAGUGGAAAAAUGCCGUGUUUGGUUAUUGGAAAUAUACUCCAUCUUUUGGUCAGCCAGAGACGAGUUUUGGUGGCUUAGGUUGUUGUCAUUUCUGUUGUCUGUGUUAUCUUCAGGGUUGUAAUCCGGAUAUUUUCUUGUGACCCGAACCCUCUCGUCCUUUCAUCUUGUCUAGUUUGUUUAGUCAUGGUGGUUUGUUUAGUAUUGUCUAUUUUGUUUCAGUUUCAUUCUAAGGGUUGUACUCCAGUUUGUUUUGCUUGUUUUUUACUCGAACUGUUUCACUGUUUGUCUAAUAUAAAU
rnacentral:lncRNA from 1 species